rnacentral:rRNA from 1 species
AAAGCACUUUCAGUCGUGAGGAAGGUAGUGUAGUUAAUAGCUGCAUUAUUUGACGUUAGCGACAGAAGAAGCACCGGCUAACUCCGUGCCAGCAGCCGCGGUAAUACGGAGGGUGCGAGCGUUAAUCGGAAUUACUGGGCGUAAAGCGCAUGCAGGUGGUUUGUUUAAGUCAGAUGUGAAAGACCCGGGGCGUCAACCUCGGAAUUGCAUUUGUAAACUAGGCAGACUAGAGUACUGUAGAGGGGGGUAGGAAUUUCAGGUGUAGCGGUGAAAUGCGUAGAGAUCUGAAGGAAUACCGGUGGCGAAGGCGGCCCCCUCGGACAGAUACUGACACUCAGAUGCGAAAGCGUGGGGAGCAAACAGGAUUAGAUACCCUGGUAG